UACAAAUUUCUUUCUUAUUAUCACAAAAUCAUUCAACUGCACAUGUCGUACUAUUUGUUGAACAAUUAUAACACUACCAUCUUCUAAACUGCAACAAUUAUUAUCACCAUUUCGCAAAAUUGUAGAGUCAAUUAUAAUAUAGUUGCAUAAUGAUGCAACACUACUGGGAAUAAAAAAGUGUAUUAUAGACUGACUAAGACAUGUCAAAGAAAGAUACAUAAGACAUUCGAACAAUGACAAUGAGGAAGCAGCAAAACUAUAAACAAUAUUACUUUUCGUAUUAUUUCGUAUUUUAUUACUUUUCGUAUUAUGUUUAUGUUUCGUGUCAUAUCGAAGGUAUGUGUUUAAAGCUUUUUCUUUGUGCUGCAAGAACUUACAAGAAGUUUUUAUUUACUUUUAACACUUAGAAAUUUGUGAGAAUUUUAAGAGGUACUGUUAAGAGUUAUGUUUAUAAAGUUUAUAAAGUUUCCUUUUAUAAA